AGCAGCCGCGGUAAUUCCAGCUCCAAUAGCGUAUAUUAAAGUUGUUGCAGUUAAAAAGCUCGUAGUUGAAUUUCGGAAUCGACGGAUUGGUCGCGCCUUCGGUGUGUACUGGUCUUGCCGGUUUCUCCCUUCUGACGAACCACGAUGUCAUUAAUUUGGUGUCGCGGGGAAUCAGGACUGUUACUUUGAAAAAAUUAGAGUGUUUAAAGCAGGCAUUAGCUUGAAUACAUUAGCAUGGAAUAAUGAAAUAGGACGUUUGAUCUUAUUUUGUUAGUUUCUAGGAUCGACGUAAUGAUUAAUAGGGAUAGUUGGGGGCGUUAGUAUUCAAUUGUCAGAGGUGAAAUUCUUGGAUUUAUUGAAGACUAACUACUGCGAAAGCAUUUGCCAAGGAUGUUUUCAUUAAUCAAGAACGAAAGUUAGGGGAUCGAAGACGAUCAGAUACCGUCGUAGUCUUAACCAUAAACUAUGCCGACUAGGGAUCGGAUGAUGUUAAUUUUUAAUGACUCAUUCGGCGCCUUAC
rnacentral:rRNA from 1 species